rnacentral:lncRNA from 1 species
CGAGCGCGCCCGCGGCGCGCGGAUCUGCCUUCCGCGGUCCGGGGCUGCCCGGGGGGCGUCCGGCGUUCCCCGAGGGCGGGCGUGUCCGCGCGGCGCCGGCCGGGGCGCGAGCGCGGGGCCGCAGCCUGUUGCAGUGUUGGGGGGCGCCAGGAGCCCUGCGGGGGGCCGCGCGGCCCGGCUCCCAGCGCAGAGCAGUUUUCUCCAACUCUCCGCUUCCGUCUCCUCCGGGCCCACCGCUGCCGGGAGACCCCGUCCGGACCUGCCAAGAAAGGAGUAUGUCAUGAAAAAGGAACAGAAAAGACACGUCACUGUUGGUGAAAGGGGAGUUUCCUUUCCCAGUUGGUGGUUACUUCAUGAUUGGAAGAGAAGUACCUAGGUGGUUGAAGAGAUUAGAUUUUCAUAGCUGUACCGAUGAAGCUGAUAAAAGAAGAUGGGAAAAUGCUUUCUCUGGGUCAUAAUAGGCUGAUGAGUAAGUAAGCCUGAAAAAAGACAGAUCUGAAAUGAGGACAGGAAUCUUGAGUGUUUUAAAACCAAGUAGGACUUUGAAUACUUGUUGAGGAUGUUUUUGCCCCAAAAAUGGAGGAAGAAAAAAUUCUCAAAGCAAAAAGUGUAAAAAGCUGAGAGGAGUAACAACCCAGUCAGCUCCAAGAAUUGCAGUACUUUGUCAGCUUCUCUGAGCACACACAGGCAAAGGCAUCAGACACGUAUGAUGAUGGUUUCCUGCUCCAGGAAUGACUUCUUAACGUGGAUUUUGGAGUGCUUUUGCUUUUUCUUUUUUUUACAAUGUGUGUUUUUUGACUCUUUGUGUUAGGUAGAUUUAUGUCAAGGAAGUAAAUUGUGAAUUCAUGGUAUUUUUGACUAUCUCCACCCCUGUUCACUGUGUGACAUUGGAAAACUAGAGGUUUUAACAUUCCUUGAAGUUUUAUUGGAAGCAACACUGCAUCAGGCAAACAGAUCCACAGUGUAAGUUUUCUCUUUUUGGCAACUGUACUUGCUUUGAAUGAGCCGAAUGUCAGCUGGAUUUCACAGCAUAUCCGAUUUACAGUCUGUGUUUUAUCAAGGCCUUAAAUGUAUGUUUUAUACUCAGCAGAUGGGAAACACAUUGAGCACUGUGUUUGACAUGUAUGCCUAAGGA